GUCUUUUGUGCUGCGCCGCUGGAGCGCGCUUGAGGCCCGGAAAAUAGCCGCCGCCGGACGGUCGCUUUGGGGCGGGCGAAGUCCUUUUCCACACUUUUUCCAUUCUUCGUCUCGUGACGCCGACAAAGAAGUCACUGUGUGCAGCCCACACCUAAGGAGUGAGGAGUGAUCUUUUUUAGGUAGCACAUUCAACGUGGAAUCUAAGAUGGUCCUGACAAAACAACAGAGGCAAGCCAUGCCCUUGUCCCAUGGGAUUAGUGCCAGCCAGCCAGCAACAAGAAAUUUCCUGCAAUAGGACUGUUAUCCACUAGUCCAUCAGUCUGAGGGGGUAAAGGUCAGUGCUGUGGCUUUAACAUCUCAUAAAUGACCCAUCCUGGCUGUCAUCCUAAGUGUUAGCCACUAAAGUUUACUUAGUAUCUACAUUUAAAGGAAUUACUAUAAAGUAAGCCAAAUUUUAGCUGAUUCUACCUAUUAAAAAACAAAAAUGGGCCGGGUACAAGGAAGGGCUCAUGCCUAUAAUCCCAGCACUUUGGGAGG